GAUGAACGCUGGCGGCGUGCUUAACACAUGCAAGUCGAACGAAGCACUUUAUUUGAUUUCCUUCGGGACUGUUUAUUUUGUGACUGAGUGGCGGACGUGUGAGUAACUCGUGGUUAACCUGCCUUGUACAGGGUGAUAACAGUUGGAAACGGCUGCUAAUACUGCAUAAGCGCACAGCAUCGCAUGAUGCAGUGUGAAAAACUCCGGGGGUAUAAGAUGGACCCGCGUUGGAUUAGCUAGUUGGUGAGGUAACGGCCCACCAAGGCGACGAUCCAUAGCCGACAUGGGAGGGUGACCGGCUACAUUGGGACUGAGACACGGACCAAACUCCUACGGGAGGCAGCAGUGGGGAAUAUUGCACAAUGGGCGAAAGCCUGAUGCAGCGACGCCGCGUGAGAGAAGAAGUAUUUCGGUAUGUAAAGCUGUAUGAGAAGGGAAGAUAAUGACGGUACCUGACUAAGAAGCACCGGCUAAAUACGUG
rnacentral:rRNA from 1 species